rnacentral:tRNA from 1 species
GGGGCCGGUAGCGCAGAGGUCGUCGCGCCAUUCUCCGCAGGAGGGAGGACGCCGGUUCGAAUCCGGCCCGGCCCCACC